UACCCUGAAAUGAAGCACCUCGAAAAAAAACUUUCCAUUUCAUUCUCGCAGUCAUCGUUGGAAGGGCUAUUUAACCUACAGAAUGAGCUGCAGCUUUUGAGCUGCCAGUAUCUCUUAUUGUCACAUGUCAGAGACUCCUGCUUCAAUAAGUAUUGGAAGGGCCGAAAGCAAUUGGUUUGGGCACGUAAUCUGCAAGGCAUCCACGGGAUCCGGCGGGGAAAUGAGAGCAGGGGAGGCCGCGGACGCCGUGUGCCUUCAGCCAGCCGCUUUCAGUAUUCCAGAGCAGAGCCAGAGCAAUUAACAGUCCUAUUGCCUUGCCUUCGCACUGCUCUGUGUUUGCUGUGUGCCAUUAGGCACCGGGUAGCACCUGUCAAUGGACGGCCGUUCUCCCAGGCCCCCAGCGCACCAGCCAUGAUUGAUGACAGGUCACCGGCAGACAGUCCCUUUGAAUUUUCAAUUCUUCCAUGGGGAAAUUGCUCAUUUCUUAGAAGUACAUUUUCAUUUUUGCAACAAGACAGCCUCCUAAGUUUAUAUAUUACUCUGGGCCCGGCUGCAGAAUUGUGAUGUAUUGCAGCAUGCAUUGGACACGAAAAAUGUUCAUUUGCGCUGACUUUAUUAUGUGCUAUUUUUUCCCCCGUCAUCGACGUGCCAAGUUACCACGGAAUACAGAUUUAAGCGAGCGUGACGCUCUUAUUCAGAUAACACCCUCACUCCUCAUAGCUAGCGAGCUGAGAUUGUCACUUUGACAUUGUGCUUUGCUUUUUUCAGCCAUUGGGGCAUUUUUAUAAUACAAAACUUGUAUCCUAUUGGACGCGGCGUUGACUUCAAAGGAGGUUAUUUGUCAUCGUACAGAUUUACGCUGUCACUCAAGAACAUUUAUAUCACUUUAAGCUCCUCGGGUGUUCUCGGUUGAGGAUGGCAGAGGAGUGGUGAUGCCACAUUCUGGCAUAGGCACAGCAUAAAUCGGUGCGUGACU